rnacentral:rRNA from 1 species
UACGGGGGGAGCAAGCGUUGUUCGGAUUUACUGGGCGUAAAGGGCGCGUAGGCGGCCUCCGCAAGUCGACUGUGAAAUCUCCGGGCUUAACCCGGAAAGGUCAGCCGAAACUGCGGGGCUAGAGUGCAGAAGGGGCAACUGGAAUUCUCGGUGUAGCGGUGAAAUGCGUAGAUAUCGGGAGGAACACCUGUGGCGAAAGCGGCUCACUGGACCACAACUGACGCUGAUGCGCGAAAGCUAGGGGAGCAAACAGG